GACGAACGCUGGCGGCGUGCUUAACACAUGCAAGUCGAACGGAAAGGCCCUGCUUUUGUGGGGUGCUAGCGAGGCGAACGGGUGAGUAACACGUGAGUAUCCUGCGCUUGACUUUGGGAUAACUUAAGGGAACUGGGGCUCUUACCGGAUAGGAGCUCCUGAUGCAUGUUGGUGGUUGGAAAGUUUCGGCGGUUGGGGAUGGACUUGCGGCUAAUCAGCUUGUUGGUGGGGUAGUGGCAUACCAAGGCUUUGACGGGUAGCCGGCCUGAGAGGGGGACCGGCGACAUUGGGACUGAGAUACGGCCCAGACGCCGACGGGAGGCAGCAGUGGGGAAUAUUGCACAAUGGGCGGAAGCCUGAUGCAGCAACGCCGCGUGCGGGAUAACGGCCUUCGGGUUAUAAACCGCUGUCGCCUGUAACGAAGCGUGAGUGACGGUAAUGGGUAAAGAAGCACCGGCUAACUACGUG
rnacentral:rRNA from 1 species